rnacentral:tRNA from 1 species
GGAUUGUAGUUCAGCGGCAGAGCACUUGCCUACUAUGUGUGAGGCCCUGGGUUCAAUCCCCAGCACCA